UGGAAAUGACGCCACGGCACAGUCACGUGCUGCUGGGUUUUGUCUCAUUGUACUGUAUGGGGCUUUUCAGUAGUGACGAUUGGGGAAUGCUUUUGCCACGUUAGUCUACAGAAUCCGUGUAAACCCUGCAGUGAUGCAGCAGUAGUAAGCUUCAUACCUGUGCUGCAGAUGUGUCUGGAAUGAAAGGAAGAAAGGUGUUUGUGAUUUUGUGUUCUCUCUCUCUCUCUCCCCCCUCUCCUCCCCCCUCCCUCCCUCUCUCUCCCUCUGUCUCUCUCUCUGUCUGUCUGUUUGUGUGUGUGUGUGUGUGUGUCUAUACUUCAUGCUGCAGUGAGCAUGUGAAUGUCAGAGGGAAACCUCAGAUAGUGGGUCAUUCUCACUUUCCAUCUUGUUUGCAGCAGAGCCUCUGUCCCUUAUCACAUUGUACUUCAGGCUGCCUGGCCUGCAAGGCAGGAAUUCUCUGUCUUUGCCUUCCACCUCCCAUAGGAACACUAGGAGUACACAACUGUUUAGCUGUUAAGAAAAAGAAAGAUAUGAAAUAUGCAUGGAACUGGAUGGAGAUAGAAACAAACACCCUGUGUGAGGUAACGGAGGCCCAGGGAGACGAAGCCUGCGUGCAUCUUCUGAAUGUGGAUGCUAGUUUUUAUGCCCUGGAUGUGAAGGUUAGAUCUGUUGCUGAAGACACUGCAUAUUUGUGGCAUAGACAGUGGAGAAUUUGAACUGGUGCUCAACUGUAAGCUUCAGCCCUCCUAGUGGCAUCCAUAGUGCUGGAGUGCGGGACACAUGGCCUGAGUGCUGGACACAUGACCUGAGUGCUGGACACAUGGCCCGAGUGCUGAACACAUGGCCCGAGUGCUGUACACAUGACCUGAGUGCUGGACACAUGGCCCAAGUGCUGGGCACAUGGCCCAAGUGCUGUACACAUGGCCCGAGUGCUGGACACAUGGCCCAAGUGCUGGACACAUGACCUGAGUGCUGGACACAUGACCUCCUAGUGGCAUCCAUAGUGCUGGAGUGCUGGACACAUGGCCUGAGUGCUGGACACAUGGCCUGAGUGCUGGACACAUGACCUCCUAGUGGCAUCCAUAGUGCUGGAGUGCUGGACACAUGGCCUGAGUGCUGGACACAUGGCCUGAGUGCUGGACACAUGACCUCCUAGUGGCAUCCAUAGUGCUGGAGUGCUGGACACAUGGCCUGAGUGCUGGACACAUGGCCUGAGUGCUGGACACAUGGCCUGAGUGCUGGAUACAUGGCCUGAGUGCUGGACACAUGACCUCCUAGUGGCAUCCAUAGUGCUGGAGUGCUGGAGUGCUGGACACAUGGCCUGAGUGCUGGACACAUGGCCUGAGUGCUGGACACAU